CCGCAAGGUNAAANUCAANGAAUUGACGGGGGCCCGCACAAGCGGUGGAGUAUGUGGUUUANUUCGACGCAACGCGAAGANCCUUACCAGGUCUUGACAUUGAUGGACAGAACUAGAGAUAGUUCNUCUUCUUCGGAAGCCAGAAAACAGGUGGUGCACGGUUGUCGUCAGCUCGUGUCGUGAGAUGUUGGGUUAAGUCCCGCAACGAGCGCAACCCCUAUCUUAUGUUGCCAGCACGUAAUGGUGGGAACUCAUGAGAGACUGCCGCAGACAAUGCGGAGGAAGGCGGGGAUGACGUCAAAUCAUCAUGCCCCUUAUGACCUGGGCUACACACGUACUACAAUGGGCUUUAAUAGAGGGAAGCGAAGUCGCGAGGCGGAGCAAACCCCAGAAACAAGCUCUCAGUUCGGAUCGUAGGCUGCAACUCGCCUACGUGAAGUCGGAAUCGCUAGUAAUCGCAGGUCAGCAUACUGCGGUGAAUACGUUCCCGGGCCUUGUACACACCGCCCGUCACACCACGAAAGUCGGAAGUGCCCAAAGCCGGUGGGGUAACCUUCGGGAGCCAGCCGUCUAAGGUAAAGUCGAUGAUUGGGGUGAAGUCGUAACAAGGUAGCCGUAUCGGAAGGUGCGGCUGGAUCACCU
rnacentral:rRNA from 1 species